GCGAAAGUAACUCAAUGGUAGAGUGUAACCUUGCCAAGGUUAAAGUUGAGAGUUCAAGUCUCUUCUUUCGCU
rnacentral:tRNA from 1 species